rnacentral:rRNA from 1 species
GAUGAACGCUAGCGGGAGGCCUAACACAUGCAAGCCUAGCGGUAUUUGUUCUUCGGAACAGAGAGAGCGGCGCACGGGUGCGGAACACGUGUGCAACCUGCCUUUAUCUGGGGGAUAGCCUUUCGAAAGGAAGAUUAAUACCCCAUAAUAUAUUGAGUGGCAUCAUUUGAUAUUGAAAACUCCGGUGGAUAGAGAUGGGCACGCGCAAGAUUAGAUAGUUGGUGAGGUAACGGCUCACCAAGUCAAUGAUCUUUAGGGGGCCUGAGAGGGUGAUCCCCCACACUGGUACUGAGACACGGACCAGACUCCUACGGGAGGCAGCAGUGAGGAAUAUUGGACAAUGGGUUAGCGCCUGAUCCAGCCAUCCCGCGUGAAGGACGACGGCCCUAUGGGUGGUAAACUUCUUUUGUAUAGGGAUAAACCUACUCUCGUGAGAGUAGCUGAAGGUACUAUACGAAUAAGCACCGGCUAACUCCGUG